rnacentral:tmRNA from 1 species
ACGCUUGAACCAACGCCCCGCACCGCCUAUAUUCCAGAUGUCUCUUCGGGGACUAUGGACAUAAACGCGCUCGUAAUAAGCGGAUCGGACCCGGGGGCGGUACCCGGCGACUCCACCAAACAUCCCUCAUUUGGGGAUCAUGGGGUCGAAACAGGAUCGACGAACGUCUAAAGGGGUUUGCUUUGUUUCGGUGAGUUACCACCGUUAUCGGUACAUAAAAGCUAGUUGCAAAUGACAACAAAGCUCCAGCUAUGGCUCUUGCUGCGUAAGCAGUACGAGUUUGCUGAAAACUAAGCCCUUGCGCCUAGCCGCGUAAGGCGGGGUUCGCAGGCACCUGGCAACAGAAGCCUGCACU